rnacentral:rRNA from 1 species
AAUCAACGCUGGCGGCGUGCCUAACACAUGCAAGUCGAACGAGAAAGUGGAGCAAUCCAUGAGUACAGUGGCGACCGGGUGAGUAACACGUGACUAACCUACCCUCGAGUGGGGAAUAACUCCGGGAAACCGGAGCUAAUACCGCAUAACAUCGCGAGAUCAAAGCCGAAAGGCGCUUGAGGAGGGGGUCGCGGCUGAUUAGCUAGUUGGCGGGGUAAUGGCCCACCAAGGCGAAGAUCGGUAUCCGGCCUGAGAGGGCGCACGGACACACUGGAACUGAAACACGGUCCAGACUCCUACGGGAGGCAGCAGUGGGGAAUUUUGCGCAAUGGGGGAAACCCUGACGCAGCAACGCCGCGUGGAGGAUGAAGUCCCUUGGGAUGUAAACUCCUUUCGACCGGGAAGAUACUGACGGUACCGGAAGAAGAAGC